CAUGCGCACCCACAUCCAAACAGUUGAAGCAAGCGUGUGUCAAGCUCUUCGAAGCGUCGAAUCGGCCACCGCAGUGGUAUAAGUGGUUCACCCAGGAACUGGUUCAGUGCCAUCCCUUUCUCCUACGUUCCUUCGAACACCUUUGAUAGAGUUGGGUGUCCCUGCUCUCGCUGCGGCAUCAGCUCUCGACGGCUCUCUUCGGAGCAUCGGUCUCGUCUUGUUAUUCAUGAUCAACACCGCCUUCUCCACCGCCGACGGCCGGCGGCUGCCGCGCGACUUGACGGACCAGCAGAAGCGGGACAUUGAGGAGGCGUUCCGCGUGCUCGACGUGAAAGGCGUGAACACCAUCACGCCAAACGACCUAAAGGUGGCACUGCGCGCGCUCGGGUACGAACCGGACAAGGAUGCGGUGCGAAAGCUUGUGGCGGAGAUGGAUCGCGGCGGCGUCUCCAGUAACCUUGUUCUCAGCGAAUUCGAGGACGUCAUGCGCCAGCGCUUCUUUGCUGAGGACAGAGACGACGAGGUGGACCUUGCCUUCCCGCUAUUCACAGAAGGCAAGUCGGAUUUCAUCUCUCUCGAUGACCUGAAACGGGUGGCGGCGGAGGUUGGCGAGGAUAUCCCGGAGGAUGUGCUGCAGGAAAUCAUUCGCGAGUGCGAUGUGCUUGAUCGCGACGACCGCAUUUCUCGUGAGGAGUUCAACAAGAUGCUGAAGUCAGACAAGUGAUCGCCGUCGUUUUUGUGACGAAAUAAAGAGGUGAAGGGGGGGGAGCACGUGCCCUAACAACUGCCUGCCACUACUGACCACUUUUUUUUCUGCUCAUGAUGUACAUGUUAGAAGAGGCUGCCAAUAUGCCAUACGAGGUGAUGCUGGUGUCUAUGUGUGUUUGUGUGUGUGUGUCUGUGGCUGCGCGGAGCCAAAAAAAAAACGACCCGCACGUACCCCGUCUGGCAAGAUGUGGCAGCGUUCCUGUGUGCUGACAGCUUCCUUUUGCGAGGAAGCCGGAAG
rnacentral:misc_RNA from 1 species